rnacentral:misc_RNA from 1 species
AGUUAGUUGCGACGUAUGACAUCCUCGGCGUAUAUUUUGUGACUCUCGGGUGAAUUAGGUCUUUCAUCUCGAUAUUUGCCGCCUCUCUUGUUUUAGUGUUGUGAAGUUUUAGUGUUGCAUGGAUUUGGGUGUACCGGUGCCUAAUUUGCAACUGGACUUAUCCUGUGGCAGACACACGGCACCACUCUGGACCGAUGGCGCUUCCGUACUCUUGAGGAGGAACAUCCGAUCCUCCAACAGUUUUUUAGUAUUGAAGAUACAAGAGCCAUAACGCAACACUUGCUCUUGGC